rnacentral:rRNA from 1 species
UGCGGAAGGAUCACUUA